rnacentral:rRNA from 1 species
AUUGAACGCUGGCGGCAUGCUUUACACAUGCAAGUCGAACGGCGGCGGGGGCUUCGGCCUGCCGGCGAGUGGCGAACGGGUGAGUAAUGCAUCGGAACGUGCCCAAGUCGUGGGGGAUAACGUAUCGAAAGGUACGCUAAUACCGCAUACGUCCUGAGGGAGAAAGCGGGGGAUCUUCGGACCUUGCGCGAUUGGAGCGGCCGAUGUCGGAUUAGCUAGUAGGUGAGGUAAAGGCUCACCUAGGCGACGAUCCGUAGCGGGUCUGAGAGGAUGAUCCGCCACACUGGGACUGAGACACGGCCCAGACUCCUACGGGAGGCAGCAGUGGGGGAAUUUUGGACAAUGGGCGCAAGCCUGAUCCAGCCAUGCCGCGUGAGUGAAGAAGGCCU